GACCGAGCCGUCCAGCUCACCGCGGCGGCGGGCGAGGCAGCAGAGUCUCCGUUUGUCCUGGCGGUCACCGUUAAAGACGAGCACGGGAACAUCGACCUGGGGGCCAUCGCAGAGAGAGCUCGUGUUGAAGCUGCACCGCCGUCUGAUCUGCAG